CGGAGGAUCCAAGCGUUAUCCGGAAUCAUUGGGUUUAAAGGGUCCGUAGGCGGGUUUAUAAGUCAGUGGUGAAAGCCCAUCGCUCAACGAUGGAACGGCCAUUGAUACUGUAGAUCUUGAAUUAUUAGGAAGUAACUAGAAUAUGUAGUGUAGCGGUGAAAUGCUUAGAGAUUACAUGGAAUACCAAUUGCGAAGGCAGGUUACUACUAAUGGAUUGACGCUGAUGGACGAAAGCGUGGGUAGCGAACAGGAUUAGAUACCCUGGUAGUCCACGCCGUAAACGAUGGAUACUAGCUGUUCGGAGCAAUCUGAGUGGCUAAGCGAAAGUGAUAAGUAUCCCACCUGGGGAGUACGUUCGCAUGAAUG
rnacentral:rRNA from 1 species